rnacentral:rRNA from 1 species
CAGUCGCCGCGGUAAUACGAAGGGUGCAAGCGUUAAUCGGAAUUACUGGGCGUAAAGCGCGCGUAGGUGGUUUGUUAAGUUGGAUGUGAAAUCCCCGGGCUCAACCUGGGAACUGCAUCCAAAACUGGCAGGCUAGAGUAGGGCAGAGGGUGGUGGAAUUUCCUGUGUAGCGGUGAAAUGCGUAGAUAUAGGAAGGAACACCAGUGGCGAAGGCGACCACCUGGGCUCAUACUGACACUGAGGUGCGAAAGCGUGGGGAGCAAACAGGAUUAGAUACCCGGGUAGUCCCUGUCUCUUAUAC